CGACGUGCCAGCAGCCGCGGUAAUACGGAGGUGCAAGCGUUAAUCGGAAUUACUGGGCGUAAAGCGCACGCAGGCGGUUUGUUAAGUCAGAUGUCGAAAUCCCCGCGCUCAACGUGGGAACGGCAUUUGAGACUGGCAAGCUAGAGUCUUGUAGAGGGGGUAGAAUUCCAGGUGUAGCGGUGAAAUGCGUAGAGAUCUGGAGGAAUACCGGUGGCGAAGGCGGCCCCCUGGACAAAGACUGACGCUCAGGUGCGAAAGCGUGGGGAGCAAACAGGAUUAGAUACCCUGGUAGUCCACGCUGUAAACGAUGUCGAUUUGGAGGUUGCGCCCUUGAGGGGUGGCUUCCGUAGCUAACGCGUUAAAUCGACCGCCUGGGGAGUACGGCCGCAAGGUUA
rnacentral:rRNA from 1 species